rnacentral:tRNA from 1 species
GCGGGGUGGGUGGCAGAGGCGGACACCGCGGCCCGCGCCAGGCCGACGGCGGGGAAAGCCUCGUCGUCGACCGGUUCGAAAGUCCACUGCGACGCA